rnacentral:rRNA from 1 species
CAAUAGCGUAUAUUAAAGUUGUUGCAGUUAAAAAGCUCGUAGUUGGAUUUGUGGUGUACUUCGGCGGCCCGUCACUAUGUGAUGGAGUUUGCUGAAGUCGCCAUCCUUGGGUGGAUCCUGUGUGGCAUUAAGUUGUCGUGCAGGGGAUGCCCAUCGUUUACUGUGAAAAAAUUAGAGUGUUCAAAGCAGGCUUAUGCCGUUGAAUAUGUUAGCAUGGAAUAAUAAGAUAGGACCUUGGUACUAUUUUGUUGGUUUGCGCACCAAGGUAAUGAUUAAUAGGGACAGUUGGGGGUAUUCGUAUUUCAUUGUCAGAGGUGAAAUUCUUGGAUUUUUGAAAGACGAACUACUGCGAAAGCAUUUACCAAGGAUGUUUUCAUUAA